GAAGGAAGGUGGUGUUCUCCCUGGAAUUAAGGUCGACAAGGGUACCGUUGAGCUUGCCGGAACCAAUGGUGAGACCACAACCCAGGGUCUUGAUGGCCUUGCCCAGCGUUGCCAGAAGUACUAUGAAGCUGGUGCACGGUUCGCAAAGUGGCGUGCUGUGCUCAAGAUUGGCCCCAAUGAACCAUCUCAGCUGUCCAUCCAAGAGAAUGCCAACGGGUUGGCUCGUUAUGCCAUCAUCUGCCAGGAGAAUGGCCUAGUGCCCAUCGUUGAGCCAGAGAUCCUGGUCGAUGGACCCCAUUCCAUCGAUAAGUGUGCCGAUGUGACUGAACGUGUUCUUGCCGCAUGCUACAAGGCCCUUAACGACCACCAUGUCCUGCUUGAAGGAACUCUCUUGAAACCCAACAUGGUUACCCCAGGAUCUGAUGCCAAGAAGGUUUCACCAGAAGUGAUUGCUAAGUACACAGUUCGCGCCUUGUUGCGCACUACCCCAGCAGCUGUCCCUGCUGUUGUGUUCUUGUCCGGUGGACAGAGUGAGGAGGAGGCUACCCUCAAC
rnacentral:lncRNA from 1 species